rnacentral:misc_RNA from 1 species
GUGAAUCAUCGAAUCUUUGAACGCACCUUGCGCUCCUUGGUAUUCCGAGGAGCAUGCCUGUUUGAGUGUCAUUAAAUUCUCAACCUCACCAACUUUGUUGUGUGCAGGCUUGGAUGUGGGGGUUGCAGGUCCACUCUCGUGGUCUGCUCCUCUGAAAUGUAUUAGUGGGUUGUGCCCCUAAUCUAUUGGUGUGAUAAUUAUCUACGCCGUGGAUUGGGUUGGUUACUUGAAGACCUGCUUCUAACCGUCCCUUGGACAACUUUUGACAAUUUUGACCUCAAAUCAGGCAAGACUACCCGC